UGGGGAAUUUUGGACAAUGGGCGAAAGCCUGAUCCAGCAAUGCCGCGUGUGUGAAGAAGGCCUUCGGGUUGUAAAGUACUUUUGUCCGGAAAGAAAUCCUCUGGGUUAAUACCUCGGGGGGAUGACGGUACCGGAAGAAUAAGCACCGGCUAACUACGUGCCAGCAGCCGCGGUAAUACGUAGGGUGCAAGCGUUAAUCGGAAUUACUGGGCGUAAAGCGUGCGCAGGCGGUUUUGUAAGACGGAUGUGAAAUCCCCGGGCUUAACCUGGGAACUGCAUUCGUGACUGCAAGGCUAGAGUAUGGCAGAGGGGGGUAGAAUUCCACGUGUAGCAGUGAAAUGCGUAGAGAUGUGGAGGAAUACCGAUGGCGAAGGCAGCCCCCUGGGCCAAUACUGACGCUCAUGCACGAAAGCGUGGGGAGCAAACAGGAUUAGAUACCCUGGUAGUCCACGCCCUAAACGAUGUCAACUAGUUGUUGGGGAUUCAUUUCCUUAGUAACGUAGCUAACGCGUGAAGUUGACCGCCUGGGGAGUACGGUCGCAAGAUUAAAACUUAAAUGAAUUGAC
rnacentral:rRNA from 1 species